GCUGGGUGAGAAACGCUGCUUGCAGGCUGGGUGAGAAACGCUGCUUGCACCGUGAUUGAGGCAGUAAACGGCUGGGAGAAUAUAUGGUAGUCAACGCUCCAGCCUCCAAGCAAAAAAAGAGAAUAAGCGUGUGUGGGAGGAGAAUAUAACCUAAAGCGUGUGUUGAGGGCUGGGAGAAUAUAUGCCACGUAGGCUAAGGAAUUUGAGAUGGUGAGAUUUGAGGGCUGCCACAUAGGAUAAGCUUAAUCGAAGCUUAAUCG
rnacentral:lncRNA from 1 species